AAGUCGUAACAAGGUAACCGUAGGUGAACCUGCGGUUGGAUCAUUAAAAAAUGUUUUGGUCUCGUGCCAAACUAACAUUUGUGUGCACCAUUGUCUGUCUUUGGUAGUUCGAGUUGCCUUUGGAGUUCAACGCUCCGAAGUGCCUACCCUUCGACGAGAUUGAGUUCUUGUCGUGAUAUGGGUUGGGCUACCGCCAUUUUUGAUAAACCUUUUGUAUUUUGUUUUUUGUCUGAACGAAGAUUUAAUCUUGAUUGAUUAAUGAUUUGAAUACAACUUUUGACAACGGAUCUCUUGGCUCUC
rnacentral:misc_RNA from 1 species